GAUUCAUAUAUUAAAUGAGUCGUUCCGGAAUUAAUAAGCUCGCAUAACAGUUGAAAUUCAUCAAACUCAUAAACGAAACGAAACAAAACAAAACAAACUUACUACAUUUCCUAUUUUGCUCAAACACAUCACAAUAAAAUGUCUCUCCAAACUUACACUUUUUACAUAAAUCAAAAUUACCUCAAACUUGAUUCAAUAUUUCCAAUUAAUAGAGAAAACAUAUAGUCACAUUCUCUAAUUUAAAACCUUUGACAUUAUUGCCAAUUUGCCAUAACCCACAACACUAGCAUUUUAAUGCCACUACAAAGUACACUCUCUCACACACCUUCACAACCACUUUCAUUCAUCAUCUCCUACAAAUUACCAUUACAUAUUUCCACCAGAUUUCACUUCCCCAUGUUUCAUCACACUUUCUUUCAACUUAUAUCACUUCUAAUCUAAUCCAAAAAAAAAAAAACUUAAAAUUCUAAACCUUAAAAAAUCACUCUAAAAUCUUUGUCUUAUAAACAAUACAAAACAAAAUAAAAAUGUUUUUUUCUGGAGUUAUUUUCUCUCUCCUCAUUUUCCUCGCCGGAGCUCAAUUUUCCGAUGCAAAUUGGUUGCCGGCGGCGGUGCCGGAAAAUGUAACAACGGUAGAGAUGGUGCCGUGGAUAGAGCCAGGAAAAAGUGCAAUGAUGGGGUUGAUGUUAAAUGACAGUCGCCGGAAGUUGGGCAGCUUUCAGAUUUGUUCAUUGUGUACUUGCUGCGCCGCCGGCAGCGGUGGCGGCGGUGGAAAAGGUUAUUGUUUGCCUUCGCCUUGUUGUUAUGCUAUCAAUUGCAACAUCCCAAAUAGGCCUUUUGGUUUUUGUUCAUUCACUCCAAAAACAUGUAAUUGCUUUAGGUGUCAUCUUUAGAAUAAGUGUUAAGCCCUAAAUCUUUUUAUUUUUAUAUUUUUCUUUUUGUGAUUUUUCUUAUUUUUAGCUUAAUUGAAGGGGGUUUAUUAUUAUUAAAUUUGGUUAAUGUGAUCUAUUGAUCAUUAUUACUUUAUAUAUAUUAUUAUUUUAUGUUAGGAUUCUAUUUGUGAUUAUUGUAAUGAGAAUCUAGUUUGUACCUUUUUUGGAUAA